rnacentral:ribozyme from 1 species
AAGAAGAGAGAAAACGAACACAAACCUACACACGAAAUGCUGUUGUUGUCUUUGUUCCUUUAUUUAAUUCACGCAUUCCUUUUCCCUUCAUUUGUAAUUAAAUUGAAUAAAGAAAACAACAAAGAGAACAACAGAUAAACCAUUCCUUGUUGUGUCCUUUCUUUUUCUUCUUCAUUUACAAGCGAAAGGAACUGAAGCGCGUGAAAUGAAGAAGAAGAAGAAAGAGAAACAACACUCACUUUUCCUUUCUUUCCUUUCCACUCA